AACUGAUUUGCUUGGUUUUUUUAUGGGUUAUAAAUUAGAUAUUUUAUUAUUAGUUAUAUGGUUUUAUUAUUAUAAUUAAAUUGUUAUAAAAAUAUUUAUUUAGGUGAUUUUAUUUGUUAAACAGGAAUUAGAUACUCCUUUAUAAAUAAAUUUAUUUGUGGUUUCUCAGUUAUAACUGAAAGAAAUUGGCAGCUGAUUAUAUCCUUCUGGGGGAAUGUGUGUUUUGAUAGAUGUUCCACUUAUUAUUUUACUAUAAAAAUUGUUAGUGUAUAUCCGGUUUAGUUACACAAAAUAAUUAUUUUGUGUAUAAAUUUUGUUUUUAAUCCAGGUCAAUAUGCUGCUUAUUUUAUAGUUAACAUUCGUUACGUUUUAAAUUUAUAGAAUGAAAGGUUGGUUUAUAUAUUUAGGACUCAGUAGUAUUAUGAGAUUUUAGUUAGCUC
rnacentral:rRNA from 1 species